GACGAGGGGUCCUAGCGUUGUUCGGAAUCAUUGGGCGUAAAGCGUAUGUAGGCGGCUUUGUAAGUCAGGUGUGAAAUCCCCGGGCUCAACCCGGGAAGUGCAUUUGAUACUGCUUAGCUUGAGUAUGGGAGAGGAUAGUGGAAUUCCAGGUGUAGUGGUGAAAUGCGUAGAUAUCAGGAAGAACACCCGUGGCGAAGGCGGCUCUCUGGGACGGUACUGACGCUGAGACGCGAAAGCGUGGGGAGCGAACAGG
rnacentral:rRNA from 1 species